rnacentral:lncRNA from 1 species
AUAUGACUCAAAUACAUCUCAAUUUAAUCUUAGUUUAAUUCUAGUUAAAAUCCUAUUGAACUUCAUUCAAACUUUAGGCCAAAACUAAUUGAAUCUUAAAUCCUAAUAAAAUCCUAAAUCCUAAAUCAAACCCUAAACAAACCUUAAAUAAAACUCCAACCAAAUCCUAAACCAAAUCCUAAUCAAAUCCUAAAUCAAAUCGUAAAUCCUAAAUCAAAUCCUACCCAAACCCUAAUCCAAAUCCUAAACUCUAAACCAAACCCUUAUCCAAACCCUAAAUUUUAAACUAAAUCAUAACUAAAUCUUAAAUCCUAAAUCAAAUCCUAAUCAAAUCCUAAAUCCUAAAUAAAAUCCUAAUCAAAUCCUAAAACCUA